AUUGAACGCUGGCGGCAGGCUUAACACAUGCAAGUCGAACGAGUGGCGGACGGGUGAGUAAUGCUUGGGAAUCUAGCUUACGGAGGGGGAUAACUACGGGAAACUGUAGCUAAUACCGCGUACCAUAGGAUGAGCACAAGUGGGAUUAGGUAGGUGGUGAGGUAAAGGCUCACAAAGCCGACGAUCUCUAGCUGGUCUGAGAGGAUGACCAGCCACACGGGGACGGAGACACGGCCCAGACUCCUACGGGAGGCAGCAGUGGGGAGUAUUGCGCAUGGGGGGCAACCUGACGCGGCCAUGCCGGGGGAAUGAAGAAGGCCUUCGGGUUGUAAAGUUCUUUCGGUAGCGAGGCGUUAACUACAGAAGAAGCACCGGCUAACUCCGUGCCAGCAGCCGCGGUAUAC
rnacentral:rRNA from 1 species